rnacentral:rRNA from 1 species
UACGGAGGGUGCGAGCGUUAAUCGGAAUUACUGGGCGUAAAGUGCGCGUAGGUGGCUUGAUAAGCCGGUUGUGAAAGCCCCGGGCUCAACCUGGGAACGGCAUCCGGAACUGUCAAGCUAGAGUGCAGGAGAGGAAGGUAGAAUUCCCGGUGUAGCGGUGAAAAGCGUAGAGAUCGGGAGGAAUACCAGUGGCGAAGGCGGCCUUCUGGACUGACACUGACACUGAGGUGCGAAAGCGUGGGUAGCAAACAGG